ensembl:lncRNA
AGUGAGGGAACAGGGAAGGGGAGUGUGCCGGGGUGUGGGGGCCUAUGGAGGUUUACUGCAAACUGGGAGGGGGAGGCUAGGGGCUCCUCCCAGGAAAAGAGGGCAACCCCAGGAGCUCUGCCCCAAGGGGAGCUCUUGUUUUAUGGAUCUGUAGGGCUGCCAUGCACUGAAUUGUGUCCCCCCCCAAAUUCACGCAUCGAUUCACACAUUGAAGCCGUACACUAGGCAAAGUAAAUGUCCAUGGCUGAAGCCACCCAGUCUUUGGCACUUUGCACGGCAGCCUGAGCAGAUGAAGACAAGGACCCUGCUGUAAGGAGGAGCCUAGACAUUCAUACUUUACAUGUCAAUUAAUUAUGUGCAGCCAGAUGCUACUGGCCUGACUGUGGGGUCUUGAAGCAUUUAUUUCCUCAAACAUUCAUUCAUCCAUUCGUUCCUUCAGCAGACUUUUCCGGGUGUGUGUUCUGUACGGGGUCCCGUGCUAGGGAGUUCUGAUCAGACAUCAUCUGUCUCCUCUACGUGUAGCCACGUGCACGGGGUCACGUGAAAGGAGCAGGGGGGUGCUGCAGGGGGCAGUGGUGGAAGGCGAGGCUGUCUUCUCUCUAUGGAGAAAGAGCUGCUGUGGCAGGGCCAGACUCCACCCUGCCCUCUUCCCCCGUUUGGAACCAGCCUCUUUAGAAAGCUCGAUUCUCCUGGGGGUUGAGGUGGGGGUGGAGGGGGCAGCAUGUACUCCUCUGUACACCUCUCAUUCCAGAGCCUGUUGAGAGGGGUGAAGGUUCAAACCCAGGAACCGAGAAGGGCCUGACACGCCUUUGGACUGGGUAACAGGAGAGCCCGUCGUAUUGCUGUGCGCCUGCCGAGCGCCAGGUGCUCUGCUAGGUCCUAUGUUAGGUCCUUCUUCUUUCCCACCUACUGAAUCUAUGUGGCUAGCGGGCUCUAGAGCAAAGUUAACACGCAGGUUUGACUUUUGGCUCCGCCACUGCUAGCUGAGUUCUCUAUGGCAAGUGAUUUAACCUCUUGAGUUUCUAUUUUGCCUCAUGCAUAAAAUAGGGACUGUAAUAACAUCUGCCUCGUGUGUUGUUAGAAUUCAGUGUGAAAUAAUGUAAAGUUCUUGGUUAGCAUUAAGCCUUUUUUUUUUAAAAAAAAAAGAAAAACUUAAAAAAGUAUAAACGGAAAUGGCUAUUACUAUUUUCGUCAUUAUUCCGGUUAUUAUUUUCUAAACAUAGCCACAAAAAGUAUAGUAACCUGCCCAAAGUUACACAGAGAGGGAGGGCUGUUUUGCAUCCCCGUUGUGCAUGACUCAGCCCAGCCUCUUCUCACCCCAACAGGCUGCCCUCCCCCAACCUGAUGGUCAUUGUCCCCUUUCUGACACCCCUCAAGAAACCCAAGUUCUCAGGGAACCUCCCCAACAGAUCAGAGAUUUCUUUCGCCCCUGCCUCACCCCCUGCGUUGAGGAGGGAUCUACAUGCACAUUUUGGCAGCAAUCCCCCACCUCGGGCCAGAAUCCCCCAGAAUGGAAAGCGCUGAGUUGCACUCUGGCUCCUUUGCUCUUUUAAGAUGCCCCUGUUGGGCCCCUGCAUGGGUGACAAGAUGAUGCAUGAGGUCUUGCUAAGCAGCUUAUUUGUCUGAGCUGCUGAUGACCUUUGUCCUGAGUUGGGUUAAGGGUAAGGGGCAGUGGCCCUUUAAAGCCUGGACAGUGGACACACCUCUCAGGUCACCGGAUCACUCAGCAAAUGGGCCAAGCCCCCUGGAGCUCGGGAGGCCUCCGCCUCUCCCCCAUCGCUGACCCCGCUCUUCAUCUCAUGAAAAAGAUUCCAAGAGCAUUCAGGUGACAUAGGACGUCAGAGGAGGAGACCAAGACAGAGGGGACACGUUUCUGACAUUGUGCUCAGCCUGUGCCUUCUUAGCUCUGCGUCCCCAGAGGUACAAGGCCAUGGGGGACCAAACCAAUUUUCCCAGCAGCCCUUUUACCACUGAACCUAACACGGUGGAUUUCGGCUCAGACCCCUUGGGCUGGAAGUCAGGACCUACUAGAAUCCACCCCUCUCCCGCCCCCUCGAACCUCUGGCCGUCCCGAGCUCCCACUCCAGUGAGGGCCAUCAGGCAGCCUUCACUACCUGCUUCAGCCGAAGCAGCUUCCUCUUGUCAGAGGCCUCCCUUUGAUUCUGACGAAGCCCCUCUUUAAAGAGCACAUCCCAUAUUAAACCUGUUCCUUCAAAGCGUGGAAAUCCCUGACUUAAAUCAACUCUUUCCUUGUAUAAGGAGUGGCAGAGCUGGAUUUGAAGCCAGGCCUUCUGAUCUCCAGGCCUGACUUGCUCUCAGCAUAUGGAUUCAUUCUACAAAGAUUCUUAGGCACCUACUGUGUGCCAGGCCCCGAGGAAGGGCCUGGAGGAGGGCAUGAGUAAGAGGGCAUGGGAUCCUGCCCUCUAGGAGGGGCCCGAGCAUUAACAUCCAGGCCUGCCCAGGGUUCAAGGAUGCAGACCUGUAACGUACCUACUGACUUUGGCACCUUGAUGGCCCCCGGUGACCUUGGGAAGGGCAUUUUCAGGGUGUGGAGGAUAAAGCUGGAGGAGGGUAGAUAGGAGGUGAGAGGGCGGAAAUAGGAUAACUGAAUCUAAGAGAUUAGACUUUGUGUCACCAAUUGCAUAUGAAUUAACAAAGGGAACAGAUCCCUUUACAGUGGGGAGAUCAGGAAUCAUUACCUUCCCUACAAGUGACCAGACUUCUUCGUGGUCAUCUUUAUGAAGCAAUAAGAAGAACAUUCCAUCACACGAGAUGCGCUUGCUGAAAAUGUGAAACCUGCAUCUAAUUGUGAGAAAGCAACACAUCCAGAAUAUAGGACAGUCUGUGGGGCAACUGACCUGAACUUUCCCAAAGGUUGAUAUC